GUAGUGUAAACGGUAGCACGACAGACCGGUAAUUUUCAGAUGCGGGUUCGAAUCCCGCC
rnacentral:tRNA from 1 species